rnacentral:rRNA from 1 species
AAUAGAUACCCGGGUAGUCCACGCCGUAAACGAUGAGUGCUAGGUGUUGGGGGGUUCCACCCUCAGUGCUGAAGUUAACACAUUAAGCACUCCGCCUGGGGAGUACGACCGCAAGGUUGAAACUCAAAGGAAUUGACGGGGGCCCGCACAAGCAGUGGAGCAUGUGGUUUAAUUCGAAGCAACGCGAAGAACCUUACCAGGUCUUGACAUCCUUUGACCACUCUAGAGAUAGAGCUUUCCCCUUCGGGGGACAAAGUGACAGGUGGUGCAUGGUUGUCGUCAGCUCGUGUCGUGAGAUGUUGGGUUAAGUCCCGCAACGAGCGCAACCCUUGACCUUAGUUGCCAGCAUUCAGUUGGGCACUCUAAGGUGACUGCCGGUGACAAACCGGAGGAAGGUGGGGACGACGUCAAAUCAUCAUGCCCCUUAUGACCUGGGCUACACACGUGCUACAAUGGAUGAUACAAAGGGUUGCGAAGCCGCGAGGCCAAGCCAAUCCCAAAAAGUCAUUCUCAGUUCGGAUUGUAGGCUGCAACUCGCCUA